UACGUAGGGACCAAGCGUUGUUCGGAUUUACUGGGCGUAAAGGGCACGUAGGCGGCCUAACAAGUCACUUGUGAAAUCUCCGGGCUUAACUCGGAAUGGCCAAGUGAAACUGUCAGGCUAGAGUGCAGAAGGGGCAAUCGGAAUUCUUGGUGUAGCGGUGAAAUGCGUAGAUAUCAAGAGGAACACCCGUGGCGAAGGCGGUUCUCUGGGACGGUACUGACGCUGAGACGCGAAAGCGUGGGGAGCGAACAGG
rnacentral:rRNA from 1 species